UCAGCGGGGAAAGAAGACCCUUUUGAGCUUGACUCCAGUCUGGCAUUGUUCGGAGACAUGCCGAGGAGUAGAAUAAGUGGGAGAUGAGGAUCACGCGGUGGAGUCGGAAACGGCUCUUUCGUGCCUUAUCGACGGUGAAAUACCACUACUCGCAUCGUUUCCUUACUUACUCGGUUAUGCGGAGCGCGUGCUGUUUGGUCCUGGUCUUUGGCCGGUGCCGUCUAGUACGUCCUCGAUUGUCGGUCGUCAGUUUGGGCCGAGAUAAAAACUUCGCGUCUGGUGAUCGUACAAGUUUCGCACUUGCUUUUGCCAGUUCGCGUUCGUUUCCUCGUGCCUUCUGGCGCCGGUUCGGUCGUGGACGUCUCGGUAUCGUGUCGGAGUCCGUCGCGGCCGGCAGUCACGAUCGGUUCCCGGUCGACUUAAGCGCAAUCGCGACGCCUGUCAGUCAGAACGGUCUACGGUAGAGUUUCAGCGCGCGCGAUGGCUGCUUCGGCGGUCAUUCGUGUGUGAAGUUCUAUCGCCCGGUUUGGCCUGGCGUCGUUGCGUGAUCCGAUCCGAGGACACCGCCAGGUGGGGAGUUCGACUGGGGCGGUACAUCUGUCAAAGAAUAACGCAGGUGUCCUAAGGCCAGCUCAGCGAGGACGGAAACCUCGCGUAGAGCAAAAGGGCAAAAGCUGGCUUGAUCCCGGACGCCCAGUACGCGUAGGGACUGCGAAAGCAUCGGCCUCUCGAUCCUCUCGUCU
rnacentral:rRNA from 1 species